rnacentral:lncRNA from 10 species
ACAUAUUAUUCAGAGGAAAAGAAGCCGGCAAAUGAGCCUGGGAUUGAAAGGCUUUGCAUGGUAUGAAAGAAAUAAGAAGAAUGUAGUACCACUAAAGACGAGAAGAGAAUCAUUCAAGAAGGAAUCACAUAAUUGUUAGAACAUCAGAGUUUUGCUCUUUGUUGACCAGUCAACACUGACCAGUUGGUACUGGUACCAAAACAGAGAUAUAGAUCAAUGGAACAGA